rnacentral:lncRNA from 1 species
UUUGGCUUUUCAGUCUAUAUAGAGAAAUUAUGUUUUUACUUGUAAUUUCUUGGUGGGACACGUGCGGAUACACCUAAACUAGAAAAUAUCUCAUCAUCAUAUCAAACAGGAAAGGACAGAAAUCUCUUUUGAUAUUCCUUAUCAACUUUAUGUUUUUUUCUUUUAUUUUAUAAAUUUCUUGGCCACCAUUUCCUCAAAAUCUUGAAUUAAUAGAAACCCUCUUUUUUUUUUUUUUUUUACUGGAAUUUCUCUUAUGCUGUGUAGAUACUGUAAAUUUCAUGACUUUGUUCUCAGUAUUAAGUAUAAAGUAUUGGGAAGUAACUGUAGGUAAACAUUUCAAAAUAUAUUAUUUUGGAAUGUUCACUUGUGUUGUGAUUUAUGACUGAUAUUAAAGGUCAGAUCAUCAUUCUGAUUGUGUCCUUCACAUCUUGAUGUAUUGAUGAUUGAGUUCAAAAUGACAGUAAAUCAAUUAUAUUUGCUUUACAAAAACCAUUUUAAUUAAUGGGACAUUUGAAAUGUAGUUUUGGGAACAAUUUUGUGUAUUAACUGGCAGAGUCACAUGAACAGAAACAUAAACUUUAUGACCUGGAGUGUUAGGAAAUAAUAUAUCUCUACAUUCCAGCGCUAUAUGCACCUUUUUCUAUCAAAAAACUAUGUCCGAGUAGUCCAGAAGUCUAAGUAGAUGAACUACUGUUUCACUCUCUUGUCAGCACUGAGGUUAUGAGUUUGAAUCCAACAUGUGGCAAGUGAGCUCAA